UGUAGUGUUAGUUAAUGUUUUCUAACAUAAUGCAUUUUCUCAGUGCAGACUAAGCUAACAAUUUUCUGGUCCACCAUUUACACAAAUUAUUCAUAUUCUAAUCACAGUCACCCUCAGUCCCAGUUGAAAUUACUUGCUGUGGAAACUGUUCUUCAUCUAGAAGGAUGGUAUAUUUAGGGGACAUUUUUGGGUGCCUGUCUGCUGAUCAAAUGAUGGUGGUGUCUGUCCUUUUAGUCUUUUAUUUGCUGGGUGUUUUUAACCAUUUUUUUGCAGAUGCGGACCUUCCUACAAUAGUCCAGGCAUUUGUCACUUCAGAACUCGACUGCAGUAAUGAACUCUACAUCUUAAAUCAACCCAGAAAUCAGAGAUGCUCUGCAGGCUGCAUUGGCCUUGAUUUUUGUAUGGAUGUACAUUUGAUUUUGACCUAUAAAGCCUGAAAUGGUUGUGGACCUAUUUAUUUGAGAGACCGCCCUUUUCCCAGUAUAACACAGCCACUGCUGCUAUCAACAAGGGUGCCUGAGGUGGAGUCUCUUCAGUUUAAAAGAGAGAGAUGCACCAUCUGGUCAUUUUCCAUAAGUGAAUUUACUCCCCUGCUUGCUGUGAAUUAGCUUGAAUUUGUUGUGUUUCAGGGCAUAAAAGGCCCAUCUAUGUAACCAUGCUUCUGGGAGGCCAGGACAUGAUAAUGGCUGGUGUCCUUGGAUGAGAGAUGUUACUGUCUGGCGUUGGUUAUUUUCUGGUUUAGGGCUGAGUGGAAAUGGCUGGCUUAUUCUGUGUUACUAUUAUUUGUAACUUAUGUCAAAGGUUCCUAGAGCCUGGGAGCUUUUUCAUAUUUACCUAAUCUUAUUAUGAACGAAAAGAGAGAAACUGAAAUGAAUAGUUCUCUCAGAAGGCAAUUAAUAAAUCUACUGGUAUUGGAGCAGUAUACCAUUCCUGCAUGAAUGGCAAUCCUUCCAUUAAACUGGCAAUUCCAUUGUUCUGUGUAACAAAUGUGAUGGUCAUCUUUAUUUCCUAGAUACUAGACUGUUACCAUAAUAUCACUUUACAUUCCUGGGGAACAGCCAUCAAAAGAUUUAAGUGGUAGCCUGGGCCACAGUCAAACCAGUAGAGGUGUAUAGCAGUAACUCUGUCAGUUCUCUGAUCAUCCAGUGCUUUCAACAGGAAACUUUUUAGGUGUCUACAGACAGGGUGUAAAAUAUAAAAUAAAUGUGUCUCCCUCCGUAAUAGAUAUAUGAAUAGCAGUGUUUUACAGGGCCUUCUGAAGACUCCCAUUGUACUUACUGUGAUUGGAAGACCCCUCCCCCAAAGAAGCAGUGGCAGUCUCAGAUGAUGACCCAGCACAUAUUCAUUUUAAGAACACUUUCACAGCAGAUUUGACAAAACUCAAAGAAGGGACCAAUGUGAGAUUUCUAAGGAUAGAUACAGCACUCAACCCAAGCUUUAAGAAUCUGAAGUGCCUUCCAAAAUCUGAGAGAGACCAGGUUUGGAGCAUGUUUUCAGAUGUCUUAAAAGAGCAACACUCAGAUGCGGAAACUAUAGAACAUGAACCACCAAAAAAGAAAAUCAACCUUCUGCUGGUGGCAUCUGACUCAGAUGAUGAAAAUGAACAUGCGUUGGUCCACUCUGCUUUGGAUAGUUAUCAAGCAGAACCCGUCAUCAGCAUGGACGCAUGUCCUCUAGAAUGGUGUUUUAAGCAUGAAAGGACAUAUGACUCUUUAGCGCAUCUGGCACGUAAAUAUCUUGCAACGCCAGCUACAAAAGUGCCAUGCGAACAUCUGUUCUCACUUUCAGGUGACAUUGUAAACAAGAAUCGGGCAGCAUUAUCUCCUGCAAAUUGUAACCAAACUUGUUUGAGCAAUUGGCGGAAGUAGAACUGAGUGGACUUGCAGGCUCUAAAGUUUUACAUGUUUUAUUUUUGAAUGCAGUUAUUUUUUGUACAUAAUUCUACAUUUGUAAGUUCAACUUUCAUGAUACAAGUACUGUAG